rnacentral:rRNA from 1 species
UACGGGAGGCCCAAACGUUAUUCGGAAUUACUAGGCUUAAAGAGUUCGUAGGCGGCGUGACAAGCAGGGUGUGAAAGCCCUCGGCUCAACCGAGGAAUUGCGCUCUGAACUGUCGUGCUUGAGGAACCUAGAGGUGAGCAGAACUGAUGGUGGAGCGGUGAAAUGUGUUGAUAUCAGGAGGAACACCCAUGGCGAAGGCAGCAAACUGGUCAUCAACUGACGCUGAGGCGCGAAAGCGUGGGUAGCAAACAGG